rnacentral:lncRNA from 1 species
CGAACUAGCUUAAUCAUUUUCUAAAAAAAUAUAAAUAAAAAAAUAUAUGUAUUUCCUUUUAUCCUUUGCCUCAUCUCUGCUAAUCUUUCUUCUUCUCUAAUCCUUGAUCUCUGGUCUAUCAUGAAUUCAAACAUGUCUAUCUAUGAAUUUCAUAGACCUACGGGCACACAUCUCGAACCACCAAAAUCUUCAAAGCCUAUCAUAGCAUCUAGUUUUGAGAUAGACACCGAAUACAUAGAAUUUGUUCAAAAACAACCUUUCUCAGG